CGUAACAAGGUCUCCGUAGGUGAACCUGCGGAGGGAUCAUUACACAAAUAUGAAGGCGGGCUGGAACCUCUCGGGGUUACAGCCUUGCUGAAUUAUUCACCCUUGUCUUUUGCGUACUUCUUGUUUCCUUGGUGGGUUCGCCCACCACUAGGACAAACAUAAACCUUUUGUAAUUGCAAUCAGCGUCAGUAACAAAUUAAUAAUUACAACUUUCAACAACGGAUCUCUUGGUUCUGGCAUCGAUGAAGAACGCAGCGAAAUGCGAUAAGUAGUGUGAAUUGCAGAAUUCAGUGAAUCAUCGAAUCUUUGAACGCACAUUGCGCCCUUUGGUAUUCCAAAGGGCAUGCCUGUUCGAGCGUCAUUUGUACCCUCAAGCUUUGCUUGGUGUUGGGCGUCUUGUCUCUAGCUUUGCUGGAGACUCGCCUUAAAGUAAUUGGCAGCCGGCCUACUGGUUUCGGAGCGCAGCACAAGUCGCACUCUCUAUCAGCAAAGGUCUAGCAUCCAUUAAGCCNUUUUUNNACUCUUGACCUCGGAUCAGGUANGGAUACCCGCUGAACUUAAGCAUAUCA
rnacentral:rRNA from 1 species